CUUCAUUGCUUACUUUUGCCUUUUUUCGUAACUUAAUUCUUUUAUCUUUUUAAUUAAUUCAACAAGUAUUUGUUCCUUAGCUAAACUUCCUACUUCAGAGAUAAUAGAAGAAUAAAUGCCUUGGAAACAGACAUGCAGAUCUAAACACUUCUUCCACUGAUCUCUAGCUAGUGUCCUUGAACAAGCUGCCUACCCUCUCCCAGCCUCAGCAACUACAUAUGUAACCCAGAACCAUAUCCAUCUCAGUAGAUUGGUUAAGCGCUAAUUGAUUUCAUGUAUAUGUACAGUAGAUAUUUGAUAAGUGUUGUCUUCCCUGCUUCUAUUUCCUAUUAAAAGGUGGGAAAUUUAAUGGCUGAAGAGCAAAUCCAAUUCAAACUCUCAGAAAUUAGAAAAAAUAAGCCUGAGAGACCCCUUCUGAUGGCACAAGACUAUGUUGUAUGCCAUCUAGACCCCACUUUGUUUCCCUCUGGGAAUGCAGAAAGACGGCAUUUCUCAGACCUCCUUGUAAUCAGUGGGUCGUGAGGCCAUUAGAAUGAAGUGAAGUGACAUUCAGGCUUAGACUGUAUAAAAAUCUUCCAGGCCUGACCCUAACGGAAGCUCAGAUGCAGAGGAUCCCAUAGAAGACUCCAAGGCCCUUUGUGAUGUAAGAGGCAUGGAAUAGAAAGAGUGUAAAUGAUCCUUUCACCUCCACUGACCUGCAAUAAAAUAUGACAUGAAACAACCAAGAUUUGAUGACAAUCAAAAUGGCAACUGGAAUAUAAUCCCUGUUUUCCCAGAUCACUUGUAGGAGAAGGGCUAUUCUGAGGAGGAGGAAGUUACAGGGACAAUCAAGUGUGUAGGAGGAACCGGAGAGGAGGCCAGCUUGCUGGUUAGCACUGCAGAUGCAACAGCAGGGACUCUAGAUGCUUCCGGUGGCCCCAGCAACAGCAUCCCUGAAGGAGAGAGGAGCCAGAACCAGCUCCUCCUGACAGCGACCGACAGGUGAAUUCUGGUGACUGGGAAAUUCAAGAUCAGAUGAGAUGCCAGAGGAUUUGGUGUCUGCUGAGAACCUACUUCCUGGUUCCCAGACAGCUGUCCUCUUGCCGUGCCCUCACACAAAGCAAAGCUAUGUCCUGAAUGGCUAGCUACACCCAAGAGUUACAAGGAGCACUCUCCAUAGAAGACCUGGUAUCUUUUCCUCAUAAUUACUGGAAGAUGCUACAAUAACAGAAGCUAGCAGAGAAAGUUAAGUCAAAGACAAAAACACAACCAAGAAUCACCAAAUAGUUAAGCAAAAAUCACACCCUGAAACAUAAGCAUAAAUCCAAAUACACAGAACUAACUCCUGAGGAAAUAAAAUAAAUACAACAAACUGAGA